UGGGGCUUUGGGGAGGAAAAAAAAGAGGAGGAAGAUUGGCAACAGAUGUUAGCUCAGGGCCAAUCUUCCUCAUCAAAAAGAAAGCAUAAAAAAAGAGAAAGGGAUAAAGCUGGAGAGAAAGGUGGAAUCACCUUGGUCCAAUCGACACGUAUUUAUCGAGUGGGCUGUGCUUGGUGUUGUGAGGGGGUCAGUUACAGUGUCCUGCCCUUGUGUUACUUAGCGACUCACUCCAACGUGAAACAGAUGGAGUGCGACUGAAUGCAAAGUUGUGUGCGUCUAAUCGUAAACUACUUCUGCCUGUUGCAGAAGCCCAGAGAAGCUCAUGGCGAAGGUUGGGUUUAAGACGGGACCUUGAAGAGCAAGCUGGAUGACAACGGAGAGAAGGAUGGGCUUCUGGACAGGGGGUCCGAUUGGGCUAAGACUGGGGUCAGGGCACAGCAGAGUGGGGAACGCGUGGUGGGGAGAAGGGGCCCAGCGUGGGGGUGAGCUGGCUGCACUCUGUCGGACAGCAGGCUGGGUGGUGGACUCAGGUGAAGCCAGACUUCAAAGUCUAGCCUGAGGGGAAGCAAUUUAAUUUAGACUAAAUGUGGAUAAUCUGAUGAAUCAUUGAUUUGCUCAGUGGAUCAUUUCAUAGCUCAGAAACGGAGGAAGCAGGGAAGAAAUGCGCUGCUCUGGACUUAACUCUGACCAGCCCCAGGGAACACUUGUUGGCAAUCGAGGGACUGGGACCCUUGGAGAAAGUGACUGUCAGGCUGGAGUGGGCACCGCAGGCGAGGGCACGGCAGCACGGCGGGCAUUAGUGCCAAGCCUGAGGAAGGGGCAUUUGAAAGCUCUGCUUGGGGACACAGAGAGGGCAGAGCCAGCUGCAGGCAGAGCCUCGGGAAUGGUGGUGGUGGUGGUGGCACAGGGGGCCGCCCGAGGCUGGCGGAUAAUGGAGGCUCUGAAAGCGGAAACCUGAGUGGCAGUCACAGAUGAUUUUAGAGGGAAGCGCUGCCUCUUCCCCACCACCACACACACUCACACUCUGCUCUCCACGUCUGUCAGGCAUCGAGGCGGUUAAUUCUCCCAGACACACCGCUGAGAGCGCCGGAGCCCUGUGGAGCUGAGACCGGGAUGGUGCUGCCAGGCUCAUUACAGGAUCCCAGAGGGAGUCUAUCAGGACAGGGUCCCCUCUCUCCCUCAGCCUCUGCAGGAGGCUCGUGCCUCUCUGCCUCCACUCCGACCCACCCUGGCAGGCCCACCCCUCGCCCGGCCCCGAGCCCCUGGAUCCCAGCCCCCUUCUGACUCUGUGCCAGGUCUCCGGCCAUGCCCACCCUCCUCGGGCCCCCCUUCGGCUUCCCGAUCUGAGCAAGGGCCAGUGCUCUGUGCUCUCUGGCGAAGAGGGCGGGGGGGGGGGCGAGGUGGCAGAGAAGUGGAGCCUGGAGAAAUCCCAAGCCAACCACACUGCCUCCCGCCAGCAUUCGACCAAAACAGCUCACCGGGAAGCAGCGGCGGUGCUCCCCGCCCUCCCACGCUCCGAGGGUCUUCUGCCCACUCAGGUGCCGCGCCUGGACAGGGUGGGCGUUUCAGGGGCGAAGGAAUGCGCGGGUGUGUGAGGACUUACCGAGCACUUGCCCCUGGCCAGGCCUUGCUCUGGCCACUCGGAUCUGCUCGUGAGAUGGAGCCGUGGGAGUGCCCGCACCAGUCAAGCCUCCAGCCCAGGGCAGCAGGCAACAAACAUCAUACCCGUGCAGAGGAUGCGGCAUACCAGAGGGUGGCAAGCAUCACAGGGAGAAACAGAGCCGGACGGGGCGCAAAGGAGGCGCUCCAUGGGGUGUGCCAACUCUCAGAGCUGGAAGGAGGAAUUCGGUUGUUUGUUAAGCAUUGUCCUCUUCAGUGGCUUGAAGUGACUGAUAGUCCUGAGAGAGCACCUAGCACGCCAUGCAGUUCACGCGACAACCUUCCUACGUGCGAGGAGACCAGCGCCGUGUGAUAGGGGCUGACGGAGAGGCGGGAGUGGGUGAGGCCCUCUGCCGCCGUUCUCUCUCCCCUCUCCACUGGGGUGGUCUCCACGUCCAGGGCCAAGGCUUUCCGGCUGCCCGGGGUCUCUCCCAUCUUAGAGGGAGGGAUUUGACAAAC
ensembl:lncRNA